GGCUUUAUAGUCAAUUUUUUAUGAUAUUAGACUGCAAUUCUGAAGUAGUAUUUUCUAAAGCUU
rnacentral:tRNA from 2 species